rnacentral:lncRNA from 1 species
GUGGACGGGAUGGACGAUGAAAGCCUAUGUUUCAUGGAGAGUCUGAGUGACAGCAACCAUGAUGAAAGUGAUACAGACUCAGUGGUGGAGAGCAUGAGCAGCCGCCAGGAUGAGGAGGCUGCAGCAACCCUCGAUGAUGUUGUGGAGGCCGGCGGGAGUGAGAAGACGGAGGAAGAGGCCCUGGCUGGGGCAAAUGAGGAGGAGGUGGGGCCGGGAACUGAGAAGGUGCAGGAGGAGGCUGCCUGCAUUGACGAGGCAGAGGAGGAGGUGGGCCCAUCCCUUGAAAAUGACGAGGAGUCCC